rnacentral:rRNA from 1 species
ACGGGCUUCGGUCUGGUGGCGAGUGGCGAACGGGUGAGUAAAGUAUCGGAACGUACCUUUCAGUGGGGGAUAACGUAGCGAAAGUUACGCUAAUACCGCAUAUUCUGUGAGCAGGAAAGCAGGGGAUCGCAAGACCUUGCGCUGAUUGAGCGGCCGAUAUCAGAUUAGCUAGUUGGUGGGGUAAAGGCCUACCAAGGCGACGAUCUGUAGCGGGUCUGAGAGGAUGAUUCGCCACACUGGAACUGAGACACGGUCCAGACUCCUACGGGAGGCAGCAGUGGGGAAUUUUGGACAAUGGGGGCAACCCUGAUCCAGCCAUGCCGCGUGAGUGAAGAAGGCCUUCGGGUUGUAAAGCUCUUUCGGCCGGGAAGAAAUCGCAUGGGCUAAUACCCUGUGUGGAUGACGGUACCGGAAUAAGAAGCACCGGCUAACUACGUGCCAGCAGCCGCGGUAAUACGUAGGGUGCGAGCGUUAAUCGGAAUUACUGGGCGUAAAGCGCGCGCAGGCGGUUUAGUAAGACAGGCGUGAAAUCCCCCGGGCUCAACCUGGGAACUGCGCUUGUGACUGCUAAGCUAGAGUAC